rnacentral:rRNA from 1 species
AGUGAACGCUGGCGGUAGGCCUAACACAUGCAAGUCGAACGGCAGCACAGUAAGAGCUUGCUCUUACGGGUGGCGAGUGGCGGACGGGUGAGGAAUACAUCGGAAUCUACUUUUUCGUGGGGGAUAACGUAGGGAAACUUACGCUAAUACCGCAUACGACCUACGGGUGAAGGCAGGGGAUCUUCGGACCUUGCGCGAUUGAAUGAGCCGAUGUCGGAUUAGCUAGUUGGCGGGGUAAAGGCCCACCAAGGCGACGAUCCGUACCUGGUCUGAGAGGAUGAUCAGCCACACUGGAACUGAGACACGGUCCAGACUCCUACGGGAGGCAGCAGUGGGGAAUAUUGGACAAUGGGCGCAAGCCUGAUCCAGCCAUACCGCGUGGGUGAAGAAGGCCUUCGGGUUGUAAAGCCCUUUUGUUGGGAAAGAAAAGCAGCAGGUUAAUACCCCGCUGUUCUGACGGUACCCAAAGAAUAAGCACCGGCUAACUUCGUG